GAUGCCUAGGCUUUCAGAGGCGAAGAAGGACGUGGUAAGCUGCGAAAAGCUGCGGGGAUCGGCACACACGAAUUGAUCCGCAGAUGUCCGAAUGGGGCAACCCGGCAUGUUGAAGACAUGUCACUCUAAUUUAUUAGAGAGCAAACCCGGAGAAUUGAAACAUCUAAGUACCCGGAGGAAAAGAAAUCGAAGAGAUUCCGUAAGUAGUGGCGAGCGAAAGCGGAUUACCCCAAAAGUUUGGUUUGUUUAAUAGAAUGUUCUGGAAAGAACACCCGUAGAGGGUGAUACCCCCGUAUAUGAAAGGCAUAUUUAACUGAUAAAUGAGUAGGGCGGGACACGUGAAAUCCUGUCUGAAUAUGGGGGGACCAUCCUCCAAGGCUAAAUACUCCUGAAAGACCGAUAUGGAACAACUACAUUGAAGGGAAAGUAAGAAGCACUUCGAAUAGAAGGGUGAAAGAGAACCUGAAACCGUACGCCUACAAGCGGUCGGAGCCCACAAGUUGGGUGACGGCGUGCCUUUUG
rnacentral:rRNA from 1 species